rnacentral:lncRNA from 1 species
GAACUUGUCUGCCCACCUCCCAUCACCUUUAACUUACUCCUCCAUGAAAGGCUCCCAUUUUCCCUGGCCCCUCCCAGCUAAUGGGCACCGGGGCUCUGGAACCUCUUUAAAGUUUCCAAUUUGUUCACCUGGAUUGACAUCUCCUCGAAUCUUUUAAGAGCUCUCCUCCUCUUUUAGCCUUCUAAUGCGUCCCAAAGACUGAGUUCCUUGAUAGUCCACCCGCUUCUCUCAGAGAGGCACCUUUAACGCUUGUUUCUGAAUCGUCCAUUACGUGCUAGGAUUGAAGUUCUUUACAGAGUGUAGAUUGCUGCCUCCUCCUCAUCCCACCCCUGCUUUGUGUGAUGCUCUUACGCCCUUCACUAAGCCCAGUAUCCACCCUCUUCCUUCUCCGAGAUAGCGAGUCCUGUGACUCCCUGCUGAGGAGCUGGCCUCCUGCCUCUAGCUGUCUGAGUUCACGACCUACAGUAGAGCCUGGGACGUGCAUGCACUUGAACGCAUGAUUGCCCUGGACUGGGUCAUCAGAGGAAACACAGAUUCUAGUUUAAUUUGUCCAAGGAUUCUACCUUACUCAUUUGUAAAUUAAACAACGAUAAAGGUAAAAAGCAGCUCUGUGGAGAAAACUUGAGUAAAAGUAAAAACAUCUUGCAAAACGUA